rnacentral:lncRNA from 1 species
UGAGCUGCUUCAUGGCACUUUUUACCUCCUCAUUCCUCAAGGUGUAAAUGAAGGGAUUCAGCAAAGGGGUGACCACUGUGUAGAAGACAGACACCACCUUGUCAAUGGAGAAGCUGGUGUCUGGCCGAGUAUAGAUGAAGAUACAUGGCCCAAAGAAGAGGGCAACCACCAUGAAGUGGGCCGAGCAGGUAGACAGGGCUUUCCGGCGCCCUUCAGCUGAGUGUUUUCGAAGAGAAACCAGGAUGACCAUAUAGGAGGUGACCACGGCCAAGAAACAGGAGAGGGAGAUGGUUCCACUAUUGGUCACAAUCAGUAUUCCUGUGAGGUAUGUAUCUGUGCAGGCCAGCUUGAUAACAAGAGGCACAUCACAGAAGUAGCUGUCAAUAAUGUUGGGGCCACAGUAAGGUAGACGAAUAGUCAAGAAGGUCUGCCCUAGUGAGUGAACAGUACCCCCCAACCAGAGAGCAAAGACAAGCUGUAUACAGACUCUCAUGUUCAUCACAUUGGGGUAGUGGAGUGGAGUGCAGAUAGCCACGUAACGAUCAUACGCCAUAAUGAUCAGCAGAAAGAUCUCGGCACAGGCAAAGAGAUGUAGGAAGAAGAGCUGUGUGAUGCAGUUGUCAAAGGAAAUGGUCUUUCUUUCUAAAAGCAAACCCUCCAACAUCUUAGGCACAGUGACAGAUGAGUGGCAGAUGUCAAUAAAGGACAGAUUGCUCAGGAAGAAAUACAUGGGGGUAUGGAGACUUGGAGUAAAGACUGUGGCAAUGAUGAUGAGAAUGUUCCCCGAAAGCGUUAGCAUAUAAAUGGCUGAGAAUGCCAUGAAAAACAGCAUUUCCAGCACCCGGUUAUCA